ACCAGACAGGAGAGCAACGCGAAACAAACAUUGGAGGAAAGUAUUUUUAGAAUUCCAAUAAUAAUUCAGAGCUGCUAAGCAAAGACUAAAUACCGAAGAAGACUCUUCUUCUAUCCUCUUCUUUUGUUGACUUCUCGACUGCAGCUUUUGCUAACCGACAUUUGGUAAUCGAUAAUUCUUUGAUUCUCGUAUCGAAGCUUCGCCUUUUCGGACACAUCAACACCCCUACAACACACGCGAACACCUACUAAACCGGCAAAUCCUCAAUCCGCAAUUUUUCGUUCUUCUUCCAGAAUAUCCAUAGGAUUUUCUGAUUCUAUCUUCUGCACGCUACGUGAUGCAUCUCUGCACUUUUUCUC
rnacentral:sRNA from 1 species